rnacentral:rRNA from 1 species
UACGAAGGGGCUAGCGUUGCUCGGAAUCACUGGGCGUAAAGCGCACGUAGGCGGACUCUUAAGUCGGUGGUGAAAUCCUGGAGCUCAACUCCAGAACUGCCUUCGAUACUGAGAGUCUCGAGUCCGGGAGAGGUGAGUGGAACUGCGAGUGUAGAGGUGAAAUUCGUAGAUAUUCGCAAGAACACCAGUGGCGAAGGCGGCUCACUGGCCCGGUACUGACGCUGAGGUGCGAAGCGUGGGAGCAAACAGG